AAGACAUCUAUGUUAAAGGGUGGACUAGUUGCUAAAAAUCAGAAGAUCUAUAUCCAGUUGUUUUGACUAUUCCCUAUGAUGCUCAACUGGGAAAGCUGCUCAUCAAAAACUCGCUUUGAAAUGGGACAAAAAAAAGAUAGGUGGAUUCCUGAAGUGUAUAACAAUAGAUGAAUUGAAGAAAGGUCUGGUGGGAAUUUUACAGAUGUCCUAGUCAUGAGAAACUUUGUAAAAAGCUUGUGAAGCUGCCCACAGAUUUGAAGCUGUGAGAAAUCUGAAAUGUCAUGGAUGACUAUGACGCUACUUAAAAUUGCUGAGGUUAAUGGACUGUAUGUCAAGAAUGCAAAGUGCACCUCAUCUGAUGCCUUCAUUAUUUUAGAAAAUGAGUGAAGGAUUUCUUCAGCCUAGUGUCCUGACUUUUGUCUACUGCAGAACUAAUUUGAAUAAAUCAAGACAUAAGCAAUCUUAUCA
rnacentral:lncRNA from 1 species